rnacentral:rRNA from 1 species
UACGUAGGGUGCGAGCGUUAAUCGGAAUUACUGGGCGUAGAGCGUGCGCAGGCGGUUUUGUAAGCCAGAUGUGAAAGCCCCGGGCUCAACCUGGGAAUGGCAUUUGGGACUGCAAGGCUUGAGUGCGGCAGAGGAGACUGGAAUUCCUGGUGUAGCAGUGAAAUGCGUAGAUAUCAGGAGGAAUACCGAUGGCGAAGGCAGGUCUCUGGGCUGACACUGACGCUCAUGCACGAAAGCGUGGGGAGCAAACAGG